rnacentral:rRNA from 1 species
CAGUAGCCGCGGGAAUACGGAGGGGGCUAGCGUUGAUCGGAAUUACUGGGCGUAAGGCGCACGUAGGCGGCUUGGUAAGUUAGAGGUGAAAGCCCGGAGCUCAACUCCGGAAUUGCCUUUAAGACUGCCGAGCUAGUAGGUGAGAGAGGUAAGUGGAAUUCCGAGUGUAGAGGUGAAAUUCGUAGAUAUUCGGAAGAACACCAGUGGCGAAGGCGGCCAUCUGGGACAACACUGACGCUGAGGCACGAAAGCGUGGGGAGCAAACAGGAUUAGAUACCCGCGUAGUCCCUGUCUCUUAUAC